GAAGCAAAAAUGUUCUAGUUGGCCAAGCUUUUCUCAAAGAGGCAAUGAAAAUCUAGCAGCAAUAACAAAAAUCAUUAGACAAAUCAUGAGCUAUCUGGUUUUGCUAAAUUGUAGUUCAGCUGGGGUGCUGAAAUGGGCAUUACAAAAAUAGCUAUCCUUUCCCCAUUGAGAUAACCCCCUGUCCUCACUCCCCAUCUCCCACCUCUCUCUCUCCUUGACCGAAGAUAAGAUCCGCUCGCCUCUCGCUCUCUCGGCCAUGGCUUCCGAUUUCUCCCAGCUAUAAUUUGACAUGGAUUAUAGCAGCAACGCCAUAGAGAUCAUUCCGGAGGCUACUGGCCCUGAACCAUGGGCUCAGGCAUCCAAUGAUCAGGCUAUAUGGGCGACCGAGGAUGACUACCGGAGUUGGAGUGGAGAACCCUCUGCUGAUAGUGCGUCGAAUCCGGCCUAUGGUGAUCGCCAGUCUCAGUCACAAUCCCGGGCUGGAAGCGAGCAGCCCCCGAGCAAGAAGCCCCGGAAUCCUUCAGAAGGAAAUGGGUCGAUGAGCAAGUCGAGGGCGAUCGGGAAAAUGUUCUUCAAGACCAAGCUCUGCUGCAAGUUCCGGGCUGGGACGUGCCCCUAUAUCACAAACUGUAAUUUUGCCCAUGGAAUGGAGGAGCUCCGGAAGCCUCCGCCCAAUUGGCAGGAGAUUGUGGCAGCACAGGAGGAGGGGGCGGAGCCGAGGGAGGAGCAUCAGAUACCUAUUCUGACUUCUUCUAGUUUGGGCGGGGACGGGCAGAGGUCUUAUAAAGGGAGGCACUGUAAGAAGUUUUACACUGAGGAGGGGUGCCCAUAUGGAGAGAUGUGUACGUUUCUGCAUGAUGAGCAGUCAAAGGCUCGGGAGAGUGUGGCGAUUAGUCUGUCACCUACAGUUGGAGGUGGUGCAUAUGGUGGUGGAUCUAAUGGGUCGAAUCAGAAGCCUUCAAAUUGGAAGACUAGGAUCUGUAACAAGUGGGAGAUGACUGGGUAUUGCCCGUUUGGUAGCAAGUGCCAUUUUGCUCAUGGGGCUGCAGAACUUCACAAAUAUGGUGGGGGGCUUGUGGAGACGGAAGGUAGGGAUGCUUCUUCAGCAGCUCCAGAUAUGAAGCAGGCUGGGGUAUCAACGAAGGCUCCUGCAGACACUGUUGUUGCACCUAUGACAUCAGUUCCUCAUGUAGAUGUUUAUCAUAUGGGAGUUCCUUCACAGAGGUCAACCAUUAUCAAUCAGAGGCAGGGGCUAAGUCAGGGUCAGAGGACUCUUCAGAAAUGGAAAGGGCCAGACAAGAUCAGUAGGAUAUAUGGUGACUGGAUCGAGGAAAAUGAGUAGACACAUAGUUGCUGAUAUAGCAGGACACCUGGAUGGAAAAAUAAUAAAGGUAGUUCAUCUCUACUAACUUCAUGUUAGCAUGCUGUUUAGCCUUUUUGUCAUCAUUGCAAUGAAACUGGUGGGUUGUGGAGCUGAAGCAAUAGAAGGGAAGUGCCACACAAGGUUUCAUUAGAAAGACAGUCACUAGUUCUUAUGAACUGAGCUUGUGUAGCUUGAUGGGAAGGCGUGUAUUGUUUUGUUUCACAGCCUUAUGAUUAUCUACGGUCAUUCCAUAUCAUGAGGGGAAGGUCAUUGAGUCUUUAUGGUGCUUGUAGUUUCACAGAAGCAGAACCAUAUUUUUACUGGAUCUUGUGCUUUGUUGACUUUGAUCGAUUAGGAGCUUACUGCUAUGUAAUAGCUAGUUGGUUAGUAUCAACAGCUGGUUCACUAUCAGGUUUCUUUGUCAGCAAGUGAAGGUGACCAAUUGAAGAAGGCUUUCCUACUUCAUGCUUAUGGAGUCUAUGGAAGGUCCGGAGCCUUUUUAAUGGAGAAGAUUGCUUGGAGCAUUAUUCUUUGGCUCUUCUGCUGCCCUUAAUGUUACGUCUCCUUCAGUAUCGGAUGGAUGGUUCCCUUUUCGAUUGUGCUCCAUUCUUUGUUUUUUUUCCCUCUGAUUCCGCUUUCCACAUUUCAUCAAUUAUGAUGGAUGGCCUUGUUGCGAAUUAUCAUUCUUUGCAGAAAAAUAUAUGCAAAUCAUGCCUCUGAAAAAUCGAAGAAAAAGGAUUAUCCAUUUGCUCAGUUGAGCAGUACAACAUUCUUAGGUAUCUAAGGAACAAUUUUGAAUCAUAUUUUUUGAAU